UUUUGAGCAGAAAAUUCCAUUCAUAUUUGUGGGUUUCAUGUGAUACACGAGAGCAUAUCUGAUUUGAUUGCCAAUGUUGUUGCACAUACAAACAUCAAACAGCCAAUCUGGUACAUACAUAUUUGGAGUUUUUCAUUUUGAAUCAAUUUAUGUGAAUGUGAUCAGCAGUAGCGCCAACGUUUUCAUAACUCAGUGGUAAGAACAUUUACAUGCGAAUUAGUGAUAGCUUGGCGAGAAAAUGUUGAAAUUAGUACUUAUGGCAGAGAUAUAUCACAUAUGUCUACCCUUAAAUUCAUUGUUUCAAUUGAUGAUAUAUAUAUUUACAGACCCCAAACUGCUGGUGAUGGUCCAGUUUUUACAAGUUUGGUUCGGGACUAUUAUAUUAACUUUUAGAGUGAAGUCGAUAUAGGCCCUUACAACUCUUAUAUCCCAAACAUAAAUCCACUUAUAAUUAAACCUCUAACUAAAAUCCAAGUAUUAUUAACUAAAUUACAUUAUAUGCUAUUUACCUUUAUAUUUUAUAAUUAUAAUUUAUUUUGAAGUAUGUCAUUAAC
rnacentral:lncRNA from 1 species